ACAAGAAAAUUAGCCGGUCAUGGUGGCACACACCUGUAAAUUCCAGCUAUUUGGGAGGCUGAGGCAGGAGAAUCGCUUGAACCCUGGUGGCAGAGGUUGUGGUGAGCAGAGGUCAGCCUACAUCAAGCUUCUCCUUGUUCUAUGUGUGAACAGCUAGUCUGUAUCUUCACCGAAGCAUAUUUAAAAAUCAACCUUAGGAAGGCCCUUGGCCACCAUAAUCCUUCCACACUAGCAAGAGCCCAGCCUCUGAGACUAGGCGUCCUUUCGCCUCCCACUGGAAUGCCUUCCCCCGAAUCUCCAAGGUACCAAACCGCUCAGGGGCAGCUGAGACAGCCCUACUUCUGGGAGUCCUCCCCAACCCUUGAAAUCACAGGCAUCUCUGCUGUCCCUGCCCUUCAUCCACAUCACUGAACAAUUCAUUGCACACAUCUCUGUACUUUUAUUUAAACCGUUCCAUGUGUGUUUACAAUUAACUACUUCAUGAAUGACUGCGGUAUGGAUGGAGCAGAAAGGAAUGCUGAGGGAGGACUCCUGUUCGAAUGAGCCCCUCUUCCAGAACUAGGAAUGAACUUUCCCCAGUACCAACAAGGCAGCCUCCCGGGCAAGAAAAGGUAACGGGAUCCAUCCUGCUGACAUCCAAGAUGGAAUUACAGGGUGCCUCCGACAUCUGCACAGCGCACACAACCAAGCUUAGGAACCCACUGUUAAGAUGCCCAAGUGACACAGACAAGUUUCUCCUCUGCGAGCCAAUGAGAUCUGCUGACAGAGCAUCGCGGGACCACUUAAGGAUUCUGGAAAAUGUGGUCCUGGGUGGUCACUGUCCACUGACCUUCGCCUGUAGUAGAGAUGGUGUUUCGCCACAUUGCCCAGCCUGGUCUCAAAUUCCUGACCUCAAGUGAUCCACCUGCCUUGGCCUCCCAAAGUGCUGGGAUUACAGGCGUGAGCCAUGAAGCCAUGCUUCAAAUCAGAGGGACUAGAAACCUCCCCGAGGGAGCAACAGGGAUCGGGGAUUCUAGGAGGAUCCAGGGCCUGUGCAAAGACCAAGCAGUGAACAGACGUAUGUGUCAGUGAUUCGCCUGUCAUGAACUCAACACCAUCUAACACCGCAGCUCACAUUUCUGUGUGCAUCAGACUCACCUGGGGGCUUAUUAAAUACAGAUUGUUGGGUCUCACCCCUAGAGUUUCUGCUUCAGUAUUCUGGGGAGCAGCCUGUGAACCUGUAUUUCCAGCAUGAUUUUCAGGUGCUACUGAUACUGUUGGUCCAAGGACCACACUAUGACCUAAUUUAACACCAGGUUAGGGGAGGUACUAAGGAGCAAAAAGCAACAGAAGAAGGGACCUGAAGCCUGUAGGGGCUUCUCUGUAAACUCCUCAAACAUAAAAGCCUUCAAGGCUCUCAAACAGCUUUUACAGCAUCAUGUCUACAAAUACAAGGUGCCACGCAGGGAGACUUCAUUCAAGCAGAGAGAAGAGCCCACUGCGUGUCCUGUAGUCCGUUUGUGUUGCUGUAACAGAAUACCAGAGACUGGGUGAUUUAUAAGCAAGAGUUCACUUGGUUUAUGGUUCUGGACACUGGGAAAGUGAGGGGCCUGCAUCUGGUGAAGGUCUUGCUGUGCCGUCCUGUGGUAGAAGGUGGAAGGACAAGAGAGUGACCACAUGUGAGAGGGAGGAGGGGGGAAAGAGAGAAAGGAAGGAAGCCAACCUCAUCCUUUUAUCAGGAACCCACUCCCAAGGUAUCUAACCCACUCUGCCUUCAUCCAUUCAUGAGGGCGGAGCCUUCACCACCUAAUCACCUCUUGAAGGCUGCACUGGUCAUUGCUGUUGCAUCAGGGGUUGAGUUUCCCACACAUGAACUUCGGAGAACACACUCAAACCACAGCAGUCCUCAUGGAAACCUUCCAGAAAAUCUGCGUGCCUGGCAUUCCGGAAUCCCUCUUUUCCACCCCUUCUCCCUGCAGCUCUAACAUCGUAUUCCCUCAUCAUUUUCCAUUCGAGCAUAGGAAAGAACAGAGUCACUACACCCAUGUCUUAUGAACCUUUCCUACAUUAAAAUAAUCACUCACAUAGAAAUUUGUAAACAUAAAUUUUCAUUUUGAUAUGAGUGAAUAUUAAAUUCUUUUUUUUUUUUUUUGAGUAGUUUUGCUCUGUGGUCCAGGCUGGAGUGAAGUGGCAAGAUCU